rnacentral:rRNA from 1 species
AUUGAACGCUGGCGGCAUGCCUAACACAUGCAAGUCGAGCGAGCGGCGGACGGGUGAGUAAUGUAUGGGGACUGCCCGAUAGAGGGGGAUAACUACUGGAAACGGUAGCUAAUACCGCAUACUAUCGGAUAACCCAUAUGGGAUUAGCUAGUAGGUGAGGUAAUGGCUCACCUAGGCGACGAUCCCUAGCUGGUCUGAGAGGAUGAUCAGCCACACUGGGACUGGGAUCCGGCCAGGCCUCCUACGGAGGCAGCAGUGGGGAAUAUUGCCCAAUGGGCGCAAGCCUGAUGCAGACCUGCCGCGUGUAUGAAGAAGGCCCUAGGGUUGUAAAGUACAUUCAGUCGGGAGGCGUUACCGACAGAAGAAGCACCGGCUAACUCCGUGCCAGCAGCCGCGGUAAUAC